GCUUCUCUCAUUUUCUGGAGAUAUUUCGAAAACACAGCUGCUAAUUUCCAGUUCUGUUCCUCUCGCCUCCAGUGGUAAAAUUUAAUUAUAUGCAGAGAUUAUGUAAAUUCUAUUCCAUUAUUUCUUCCAAUUUAUGCCAAAACCAGAUUUUCCUACAAGAAAUCCCGUUCUUCAAAUCCAAAACAUGCAUACACAUCAUCAAAUCUAUUAUCUAUUUUUCAUAAGAAAUCAAAUAGAAUAAAUAUUAUAAUUACAUGGAAAAAGGAAAGGAGGGGAUGGGGGAAUUGUUGUCGGAGAGGUGAGAGGGGGCGGCUGAAUAACGCCGCCGUGCGCUGUUGCUGGCGGAGGGCGUCGGCUGGCGGAAGGAAGAGAAGGGGCAGCGGUGCGGUGGUCUUGGCCGCUGCUGUGCUGGACCGGUCGGACAGAUGGAGAAGGCGCCUGGGCAGCGCCGCUGUCGACGCGAGGGCGGCGAUGGUGGUGCUGCUGUCGGCCAGAAGAGUGAAGGGAGGUGAGGGCGACGCCGGGCAGGAAUAGGUGGCGACGAAGGGUCGCCGGGGAAGAGGGGCGCAGCUGCGGCUGGUGCAGUGAGGACAAGGGCAAGGGAGGAGGAAGAGAGAUGAGGGAGAAGGGCGAGAAGUGAGGGAGAGUGAGAGGGAGACAGGAGCUGAGGGAAAACAGAGAGAGGUCGAAGGGAAGGAGAGAGGAGGCAGAGCCACCGGCCUCCGGCGGCGGCGUGCCGUCUGGGACAGCGGCAGGAGGCCGAGAAGAAGAGAGGGAGGAGGGCUGAGAGAGGGAGUUAGGGUGUCGUGAGUUAUGUGUGUGGAAGUCAAAUUGGGGUUUUAAAUUUGGGUUGGAUGGUGGGCUUGGAAUGGGCUAAUUAUUAAGCCUUAUUUUAUUAUAUUAAAUUAACCUUUAAUUUGGGCUUUACCUUUCUAAUUGAAAUUGGACUUGUUAUUAAUUAAAAGAUCUUUAAAUAUUUUAUUUUGUCUUAUUAACUAAAAUAAUGUUUUAAGGAUGUUAAAGAAUAGAUUUUUAAGUAUUAAAUUAUUUUCAUAAAUAGGCCCUUUAUAUGCCCUUAUAUGUUAUUAUUUGAAUUUAUCUGACUAGGUGCGGCGCGACUAGGACGUUACUUUUGAUUGAAUUACUCAAAGUUAACCUUCAAGUUCAAAUUCAGGUGUGGGAUUUAUUUCAGUACAUGCUGUGGUUAAUCUUUGUCCAUUUUAAUAUUAUGUGUUUACCAUAUGUGAGUUGCAUUAAAUUAUAU
rnacentral:lncRNA from 1 species